AAAUGUUCGAAAGAUUGACAGUACAAAAUGUUUGUUCUGAUUAAACUUAGUAUACAAACUUAUGUAUUUGUACUUUAUGUAAUAAAUAGGAGCUUACAGUUCCAUAACUAUUUUCUUAUUUUUUAAAGUUUCGAUGACCACCCGUGACCAUGAGGCAUCUACCACAAACUAGAAAACAAAGAAUAAAUUGAUUAUAAACUACCGAAAACUCAGGAUCAACCAUUAUAAUGAGCUAAAAUAUCCAGCUAAGACAAAUCUGGGCUAAAAUAUGCCUCGUACUGAAUGCGCAUGCGUGACAUGACUCCUAACAACCAGUCUCCUGAACUUGGACUAGUGUUUAUUACUUUAUUUUUAGGCCAAAAAACCCAUGAAACAUACAUACAUAUGUAUUGAUCUCUUUGUAUUCAGAUUAAUUGAAUUCGUUAUGUAAUGUGGUGCAAUUUACGAAAAUAGAUUCGCCGAAAUUAAUAUUCAA